rnacentral:rRNA from 1 species
GUUUCAUUUAAAAUUUAAAUAGAAUUUUAUUUUUUAGUUAAAAAGCUAAAAUAUAGUCAAAAGACGAGAAGACCCUAUAAAUCUUAAUUGUGUAUAAAUUUUUAAUUUGGGUUGAUUUUUUUAGGUAUAAAUUUAUAUAUAAUUUCAUUGGGGUGAUGUUAAAAUUUAAUUAACUUUUAAUAAUUUUAUUCAUUUAUUUAUGAUUAAGUGAUCCAUUAUUAGUGAUUAUAAAUUUAAGUUACUUUAGGGAUAACAGCGUAAUUUUUUUGGAGAGUUCUUAUCGAUAAAAGAGUUUGCGACCUCGAUGUUGGAUUAAGAUUCAUAUUUAAAUGUAGAAGUUUAAAUAUUAAGUCUGUUCGACUUUUUAUUCUUACAUGAUCUGAGUUGAAACCGGUGUAAGCCAGGUUGGUUUCUAUCUUUGAUUUAAUAAAAUAUUUUAGUACGAAAGGAAUUAGUAUUUAUUUUUUAGAAAUUUAAUUAAUGAAU